GGGAAUCUACCGAGCCCUGCGGAAUAGCUCCGGGAAACCGGAAUUAAUACCGCAUACGCCCUACGGGGGAAAGAUUUAUCGGGGUUUGAUGAGCCCGCGUUGGAUUAGCUAGUUGGUGGGGUAAAGGCCUACCAAGGCGACGAUCCAUAGCUGGUCUGAGAGGAUGAUCAGCCACAUUGGGACUGAGACACGGCCCAAACUCCUACGGGAGGCAGCAGUGGGGAAUAUUGGACAAUGGGCGCAAGCCUGAUCCAGCCAUGCCGCGUGAGUGAUGAAGGCCCUAGGGUUGUAAAGCUCUUUCAACGGUGAAGAUAAUGACGGUAACCGUAGAAGAAGCCCCGGCUAACUUCGUGCCAGCAGCCGCGGUAAUACGAAGGGGGCUAGCGUUGUUCGGAAUUACUGGGCGUAAAGCGCACGUAGGCGGAUAUUUAAGUCAGGGGUGAAAUCCCGGGGCUCAACCUCGGAACUGCCUUUGAUACUGGGUAUCUUGAGUAUGGAAGAGGUAAGUGGAAUUGCGAGU
rnacentral:rRNA from 1 species